AACGAACGCUGGCGGCAUGCCUAACACAUGCAAGUCGAACGAGACCUUCGGGUCUAGUGGCGCACGGGUGCGUAACGCGUGGGAAGCUGCCCUUCGGUUGGGAAUAACUGAGAGAAAUUUCAGCUAAUACCUUAUAAUGUCUUCGGACCAAAGAUUUAUCGCCGGGGGAUGAGCCCGCGUAGGAUUAGGUAGUUGGUGGGGUAAUGGCCUACCAAGCCGACGAUCCUUAGCUGGUCUGAGAGGAUGAUUCGCCACACUGGGGCUGAGACACGGCCCAGACUCCUACGGGAGGCAGCAGUGGGGAAUAUUGGACAAUGGGCGAAAGCCUGAUCCAGCAAUGGCGCGUGAGUGAUGAAGGCCUUAGGGUUGUAAAGCUCUUUUACCCGGGAUGAUAAUGACGGUACCGGGUGAAUAAGCUCCGGCUAACUCCGUG
rnacentral:rRNA from 1 species